rnacentral:lncRNA from 1 species
UGUUCGCUGGUCAAGCCCUUCUCUGACUUGCUCUGCCAGACCAACAUCACUAAAACAGACGAAGCCUUCUUUGACACAGAGGACAACAUUGAGAAGAGCUGCCGCUGCUGGAGUACAUACUGGACUGCCUCCAUAAGAUCUGCCUGUACGACACAAAGCACUUCGUCAGCACGGAGAGCGCCAAUGCCCUCAUGACCCCUCUGGUCGAUCAGUUGAACACCCUAGGUGGAGAAGAGGUUUACCAUACCAGAGUCACCAAGCACCUGGUGCUGUGCGUGGGCCACUUCUGCUUUGCCGUAGUAGACGACACUCGGUGGUAGACCCUCAACUACAAGAUCCUGCUGAAGACACGACACAGCUCGGCCAAGGUGAGAUAUCUGGGACAUGAGAAGGCUUUGAGAAUUGCUCUUUGCUAAGAAGCUUUUAAAAAAUAAAUAAUAAUAAUUUGAAUUUAAAAUAAUUGCAGUAAGGUACUUAUGUUACCCAGAAAUUAUUUGAUAUUGAGAUACAAACAUCUGCAUUGGACCUUUUAAGACCACGAUUAGCUGGUGUGUUAGAGCUGGAUCGGCACAAAAACCCACCUGCAGCUCUCCAGGACCAGGAGUGAUCAUCCAGUGACUGUAUUGUCGUCGUC